UGUUUCCUUCCCGAGGGU
rnacentral:miRNA from 1 species